rnacentral:rRNA from 1 species
AUGGUGAGCUAUGUAGGUCAGCGCCUCCUCUCAUCUCUCUGCCCGGGAGCCCUGGCCUCUCCUUUCUGUGUGUGCAAGCUUGUAAACAACUACAAUGAUAUUACACAUCACUUUCUGUACUACAUUUAUGUGCAUUUGGAUCUCGCCAAGGCUAAGAAAUCUGCGUCGCAGCCCCAACUAAUGCAUCAACUUGGAACCAAGGUCCACCCUCUAAUAAUCAGCAUAUAUGCCGCAUGUCAGCCUCAUGGGGAUCAAACAGAUGAGGAGAAGGAGGCAGCAAGGAAGAAGCUUCUGCUGGAGGGCGUCACCUGCGGCAUCACCUGCAUCGACCUCUCGCUGAUUACCAUCCCAAGGAUGCGCGACCGACUGGCGGAGCAGGGCACCACUCAAUCCUUGUUUUUCUCAACAUUGGCAAGCGGAACGUGGCAAUGGGUGUGGAGACAUCGAAUAUGUGUUCUUGGCUCGGGCGCAUCAUGGUUGGCGCACGCCUCCUCCCCCUUGAUGAAGGCCGGAGGAUCGACACAAACACGUGGAGAGGGGAUCAUGGUGGAGAGUGAGCGGUUGGCGGGGGACUCCUCGGCGGUCCGUGGGGAAGUACCGUGA